rnacentral:rRNA from 1 species
CUUAACACAUGCAAGUCGAGGGGCAGCAUGGUCUUAGCUUGCUAAGGCCGAUGGCGACCGGCGCACGGGUGAGUAACACGUAUCCAACCUGCCGUCUACUCUUGGACAGCCUUCUGAAAGGAAGAUUAAUACAAGAUGGCAUCAUGAGUCCGCAUGUUCACAUGAUUAAAGGUAUUCCGGUAGACGAUGGGGAUGCGUUCCAUUAGAUAGUAGGCGGGGUAACGGCCCACCUAGUCUUCGAUGGAUAGGGGUUCUGAGAGGAAGGUCCCCCACAUUGGAACUGAGACACGGUCCAAACUCCUACGGGAGGCAGCAGUGAGGAAUAUUGGUCAAUGGGCGAGAGCCUGAACCAGCCAAGUAGCGUGAAGGAUGACUGCCCUAUGGGUUGUAAACUUCUUUUAUAAAGGAAUAAAGUCGGGUAUGCAUACCCGUUUGCAUGUACUUUAUGAAUAAGGAUCGGCUAACUCCGUGCCAGCAGCCGCGGUAAUACGGAGGAUCCGAGCGUUAUCCGGAUUUAUUGGGUUUAAAGGGAGCGUAGAUGGAUGUUUAAGUCAGUUGUGAAAGUUUGCGGCUCAACCGUAAAAUUGCAGUUGAUACUGGAUAUCUUGAGUGCAGUUGAGGCAGGCGGAAUUCGUGGUGUAGCGGUGAAAUGCUUAGAUAUCACGAAGAACUCCGAUUGCGAAGGCAGCCUGCUAAGCUGCAACUGACAUUGAGGCUCGAAAGUGUGGGUAUCAAACAGGAUUAGAUACCCUGGUAGUCCACACGGUAAACGAUGAAUACUCGCUGUUUGCGAUAUACAGCAAGCGGCCAAGCGAAAGCGUUAAGUAUUCCACCUGGGGAGUACGCCGGCAACGGUGAAACUCAAAGGAAUUGACGGGGGCCCGCACAAGCGGAGGAACAUGUGGUUUAAUUCGAUGAUACGCGAGGAACCUUACCCGGGCUUAAAUUGCAGAUGAAUUACGGUGAAAGCCGUAAGCCGCAAGGCAUCUGUGAAGGUGCUGCAUGGUUGUCGUCAGCUCGUGCCGUGAGGUGUCGGCUUAAGUGCCAUAACGAGCGCAACCCUUGUUGUCAGUUACUAACAGGUUCCGCUGAGGACUCUGACAAGACUGCCAUCGUAAGAUGUGAGGAAGGUGGGGAUGACGUCAAAUCAGCACGGCCCUUACGUCCGGGGCUACACACGUGUUACAAUGGGGGGGUACAGAGGGCCGCUACCACGCGAGUGGAUGCCAAUCCCAAAAACCUCUCUCAGUUCGGACUGGAGUCUGCAACCCGACUCCACGAAGCUGGAUUCGCUAGUAAUCGCGCAUCAGCCACGGCGCGGUGAAUACGUUCCCGGGCCUUGUACACACCGCCCGUCAAGCCAUGGGAGCCGGGGGUACCUGAAGUGCGUAACCGCGAGGAGCGCCCUAGGGUAAAACUGGUGACUGGGGCUAAGUC